UACGUAGGCAGCAAGCGUUGUUCGGAGUUACUGGGCGUAAAGAGCGUGUAGGCGGCCAGAUAGGUCCGUUGUGAAAACUCGAGGCUCAACCUCGAGACGCCGAUGGAAACCAUUUGGCUAGAGUCCGGAAGAGGAGAGUGGAAUUCCUGGUGUAGCGGUGAAAUGCGCAGAUAUCAGGAAGAACACCCGUGGCUAAGGCGGCUCUCUAGUACGGUACUGACGCUGAGACGCGAAAGCGUGGGGAGCGAACAGG
rnacentral:rRNA from 1 species